UGGUGAUGAUUCUUAACGAGCAUGCUG
rnacentral:piRNA from 1 species